ensembl:misc_RNA Metazoa_SRP Metazoan signal recognition particle RNA
GCCUCGCAGUGGCGUGCGCCUGUAACAAGCUACUGGGAGGCUGAGGCUGGCGGAUCGUUUGAGCUCAGGUCUUCUGGGCUGCAGUGGGCUAUUUCGAUCGGGUGUCCGCGCUAAGUUCGACAUCGAUUCUUAGGUGCUCCUGGGGAAAACUUCUACCAGGUCGUUCUCUUUUAGGGAUUUAGAAUCGGCCCAGGUCGGAAACGGAGCAGGUCAAAUCCCCGUGCCGCUCAAGUAGUGGGUUCGCGCCCGUGAAAGUCGCUGUAGUUCAGCCUGAAUAAUACAGCGGGACUCAGUCUUUC